rnacentral:rRNA from 1 species
UGCACAGGUUGUGAACUCGAAGAGUAGGGCGGGACACGUGGUAUCCUGUCUGUAUAUUUUUUUUCCUUCCUCCAUGUCUUUAUACCUGUCUCU